AUGUGGUGCAGUGGUACGAGCCUUUUGCGUUUGUCAUUCAAGGGAUUCAACAAUGUUGCCAGCUUCUCCGACAGCAAUGGAUUCAGGCACCUGAGUGGCCAUGGUACAAAUCCAAGCUACAGAAGGCAUCCCCUGCUACUCGCAACAUUGUUGGACAAAACCAACGUGGGAAAAAGAGAAAAGCUACAGGAUAACACUUCAUUUCAAUACAUCUUUUUUAAAGAACAGUUCAGAUACCUCAACAUAGAUUCAGAAGCUUACCUGCUCAACAAGGGGGAUGGCAAGGUGGUGCUGUUCGCCGGUGACGGGGUCCCACACCAGGACCUUGUUCGGCCGUACGUUGCGGAUGAGCACGAGGCCAUGGCGGCAUCCAAGGGAGAUGAAGCGGUCGCCUUCGCGGCGCUGCAAGGAGAAGCGGCCAGGCGAGACACGAUUUGGGGCCAAGGAGGGGAGGGUUUCGGCGGUGGUGGCGGCGGAAGCGGCGGCAGAAGCGGGGGUCGGAGACGAGGCACCGCCAGCGUUUGCAGACGACGGAGGCGCGCGGGAGGGAGGACGGCUCCGGGGGGAGGCGGAGGAGGAUCUCGCAGAGCAGGUUGUCGUCCUCCAGCGGACCCGCUGCCGGCGAGAGGUGGCAGGUGCGGCUGGUCAUUUCGCCCUCCACCUGCAACAAUGGAGGAGCGGUCAGAGGAGGAGAGGAGCAGUCCGGGACCUGGGAAAGGAGAGGAGCCGCCGGGGUAG
rnacentral:rRNA from 1 species